GUUUCAAUUCCUCAUAGGCAGGCUAUCGGCGAUACGCGGGGAUGGGUAAGAUACACGGGGGUGAGAAUG
rnacentral:sRNA from 1 species